UUCACAGCCAACUUAUUGUACAAAAAAAGAAACAAGCAUCUAAUUGCGAUCCUUUUUGGAUUAACCUUUUCCAAUCUAUUUGUUAAAACAAGUAAGCAUUUUGUCAGACAAUUGGGAAGCAACAAAGUAAAGAGCAUGUACACAAAUUCAGGACUAGAGGAAAAAAAAUACAUUUGCAUCAAGGCUCACGCAAUGAUGUAGCUUGGAUUGUUCACAAAUUUGGUGUUUUACCU
rnacentral:lncRNA from 1 species